rnacentral:lncRNA from 1 species
GAAAUAGAAUAUGUUACAUUCAUACACAUUUGGAUAACAGCAGCUUCUUUGUUUCAAGAUCCAGAGAUGAGUUUUCCCCUGAUGGAAAUAUGUAAUACAUAAUCAUACGGCUAAAAGAGAGUCUCUAAUUUCAUCUUUUCACCUUCAGACAGACCUAUCCCUAAGUCAUUUUGGGUAGAUAGACUUCAUUAUUUGUGAAAAGGUUGGUAAGAAGAGAAAGUGUCUUUUGAAAAGUACCCUUAGUAAACAUUUAUAUUGUAAAGUACAAUUCAACUCUAAAAAUGUUACAUUUUAUCUCUCACUUUGAGAAGUGCCUCAAAGUAACACAGUUGCUACUUUCUGUCUGUAGUCAAGAUUCUGUACUAAGUACCUUUCUGCAGUGUUCUCAGACUUCUUAGAUAAUGUCCCAUUCAACAAAUGUUACCUUCCCCAGAGCUCUCC